CUACGGGACGCUCCAGUGAGGAAUAUUGCACAAUGGGGGGAACCCUGAUGCAGCAACGCCGCGUGGAGGAUGACACAUUUCGGUGUGUAAACUCCUUUUAUAUGUCAAGAAAAUGACGGUAGCAUAUGAAUAAGCACCGGCUAACUCCGUGCCAGCAGCCGCGGUAAUACGGAGGGUGCAAGCGUUACUUGGAAUCACUGGGCGUAAAGGACGCGUAGGCGGGUUGGAAAGUCAGGUGUGAAAUCCUACAGCUUAACUGUAGAACUGCACUUGAAACUUCUAAUCUAGAGUAUGGGAGGGGGAGAUGGAAUUAGUGGUGUAGGGGUAAAAUCCGUAGAUAUCACUAGGAAUACCUAAAGCGAAGGCGAUCUCCUGGAACAUUACUGACGCUAAGGCGUGAAAGCGUGGGGAGCAAACAGGAUUAGAUACCCCUGUAGUC
rnacentral:rRNA from 1 species